AGGACGAACGCUGGCGGCGUGCUUAACACAUGCAAGUCGAGCGAGACUUCGGUCUAGCGGCGAACGGGUGAGUAACACGUGGGCAACCUGCCCCGAGCUCUGGGAUAACUCCGGGAAACCGGGGCUAAUACCGGAUACGACCCGAGAAGACAUCUUCUCGGGUGGAAAGUUUUUCGGCUCGGGAUGGGCCCGCGGCCUAUCAGCUUGGUUGGGGGGGUGACGGCCCACCGAAGGCGACGACGGGUAGCC
rnacentral:rRNA from 1 species